rnacentral:rRNA from 1 species
UACGGAGGGUCCAAGCGUUAUUCGGAAUUACUGGGCGUAAAGCGCAUGUAGGUGGUUUAUUAAGUCAGAUGUGAAAGCCCUGGACUCAAUCCAGGAAGUGCAUUUGAUACUGGUAGACUAGAGUAUAGGAGAGGAAAGCGGAAUUCCAGGUGUAGAGGUGAAAUUCGCAGAUAUCUGGAGGAACAACAGAGGCGAAGGCGGCUUUCUGGACUAUAACUGACACUGAGAUGCGAAAGCGUGGGGAGCAAACAGG